rnacentral:rRNA from 1 species
AGCGAACAGACGAGGAGCUUGCUCCUCUGACGUUAGCGGCGGACGGGUGAGUAACACGUGGAUAACCUACCUAUAAGACUGGGAUAACUUCGGGAAACCGGAGCUAAUACCGGAUAAUAUAUUGAACCGCAUGGUUCAAUAGUGAAAGACGGUUUUGCUGUCACUUAUAGAUGGAUCCGCGCCGCAUUAGCUAGUUGGUAAGGUAACGGCUUACCAAGGCAACGAUGCGUAGCCGACCUGAGAGGGUGAUCGGCCACACUGGAACUGAGACACGGUCCAGACUCCUACGGGAGGCAGCAGUAGGGAAUCUUCCGCAAUGGGCGAAAGCCUGACGGAGCAACGCCGCGUGAGUGAUGAAGGUCUUCGGAUCGUAAAACUCUGUUAUUAGGGAAGAACAAAUGUGUAAGUAACUAUGCACGUCUUGACGGUACCUAAUCAGAAAGCCACGGCUAACUACGUGCCAGCAGCCGCGGUAAUACGUAGGUGGCAAGCGUUAUCCGGAAUUAUUGGGCGUAAAGCGCGCGUAGGCGGUUUUUUAAGUCUGAUGUGAAAGCCCACGGCUCAACCGUGGAGGGUCAUUGGAAACUGGAAAACUUGAGUGCAGAAGAGGAAAGUGGAAUUCCAUGUGUAGCGGUGAAAUGCGCAGAGAUAUGGAGGAACACCAGUGGCGAAGGCGACUUUCUGGUCUGUAACUGACGCUGAUGUGCGAAAGCGUGGGGAUCAAACAGGAUUAGAUACCCUGGUAGUCCACGCCGUAAACGAUGAGUGCUAAGUGUUAGGGGGGUUUCCGCCCCCUUAAUGCUGCAGCUAACGCAUUAAGCACUCCGCCCUGGGGGAGUACGACCGCCAGGGUUGAAACUCAAAAG